rnacentral:piRNA from 1 species
UUCCAAGUGAGGACCAGUGGUGAUGUGU